GUUUUAUAUACAUUGUUUAGACCUAAGUUUCUUUUAUCAAGUUCUUUGCAAAACCCUAUUUUAAGAGACAUAAGCUAUUCAUCCUCUGCUCUUCAGAGAUUCAUUCAGUUUUUAAUACAGUGAAGAGAUCCUUUCUAACUCUUUUCUUUAUAAGAGGGUAUAGAGAUCAACACAACAUAGAGAA
rnacentral:sRNA from 1 species